UACAGAGGUGGCAAGCGUUGUUCGGAAUUACUGGGCGUAAAGGGCGCGUAGGCGGCUUGGUCAGUCCCGUGUGAAAUCCCUCGGCUCAACUGAGGAACUGCACGGGGAACUGCCUGGCUUGAGUUCGGGAGAGGGAAGCGGAAUUCCGGGUGUAGCGGUGAAAUGCGUAGAUAUCCGGAGGAACACCGGUGGCGAAGGCGGCAUCCUGGACCGGCAUUGACGCUGAGGCGCGAAAGCCAGGGGAGCAAACGGG
rnacentral:rRNA from 1 species